AUUUUUAGUUAAUUAAGCUAAUUUUAAGCAAAACUAGUUAUAAAUGCCCAAGUUUCUAGCACAUUCCCUAAUAUCAAUACCUUUCUAGACUUUUUGUAGAACAAAAAAUAAAUAAAAAAAUACUAAGAAUCUAAGAGCAAUUAGCACAAAAUACACAUUUAGACCGAGACUUAUAUAAUAGGAAUACACUACAUAAUCAAGAGGACCUAAUUCGCCUCCCUCCUUCAGAUUUUGUUCAUCCUCUUUCCCUCAAAAUAAAAGAGAUAUGGAAAAGACACAAAACACCAUGAGAGCCAUGUGAAAAAUCGCCCAAAGCUGUCCCAUUUAAGCUGCAAAACGUUGUUCCUAAAACCAGCUCAAUAAACAUGAUGAAGCCAAGCUAAAAUCGAGCCGAAAUAGUAACCAAAAUUGCUGCCAGUUCCACUGCGAAGAAUCCCGGAAUCCCCAUUCAAAUAGUCCUAAAACUCAGCCUUUAACCACCUUAAAACCUUCCAAAACACCACCUCAAAUCACCCCCAAAUCAGAUCUGUUUUCUGCUCAAAAAACGCCAUCUACACAGCCCAGAGACGAGCUCGAAUCCACCCCAAAACAGCCCCAAAAAUGAGUUGAGAAAACUGUCAAAAACCAACCUCAAACAGGCCAACAUAUACUGCAAAAACUGAGCUAAAAGCUCAUUGAAAUAGUCCCCCUUCACACCAAAUCAACAGCUCUAGAGUUGAUUCGAAAGCUCCGGUCCGAGGUUUUAUUGCUGUCCAUUUUCUCCAGUCGAGCAUUGCCGAUAGGAGUUCAACGGUGUUGUUUAAUUUUAUAUCAAUCCACAUAUUUCAAACGCGUCACACAAGGUCUCCUUCACCCUUUAAUUAAUUCUUUCAUUUUUGCUUCUGUUAUUAUUAGCAUACUUUGUUUGUUAUCUUAAUUAGCUAAUUCACAUUAUAGAUAUUUGUUAAGUUAUCUACAGUUUGUGUCCAUUUUGUUAUCUCUAUUUAUUUAAAAAUUGUUUUAUUGUAGGUUCAUUUUAUGAAAGCUUGGGAUUGAAAGCUAUAAGAAGUUUUAUUAAAUUGGAUGGGCCAAUAUGAUUUGUUGGGUGUGGUUUUGGGCCUAAUUUUGUCAAGAUCGAUAAAUGGAUUGUAUGCAUUAGAUAAUAAUUCACGUGAUAUCUCUAAGUUGCAAUUUUUUUGCAGGUAUUGAAAUUUUAAUUAUGAUCGUUCUUGUUUAGAGGGUUAAGAGACAUUUUAGCUUCUUUUGUUUAAGUUUGUUCCAUAUUCAGUCGUUUCUAUUAUUGGGGAUUUCAAGUUAGAAUAUUAAUAAUUUAUUUAAGUGGCAUUUAUCCCUCCCAACUUAGUAGUAUAAUGAACCAUUUUCCUUUAUGGGGAUUACAUCUUUACUACAUUAUGUUAGUAAAGAUUUAAUAUAAAUUUGGUAUAAGUUGG
rnacentral:lncRNA from 1 species